rnacentral:rRNA from 1 species
CCUACGGGAGGCAGCAGUGAGGAAUAUUGGUCAAUGGGCUUACGCCUGAACCAGCCAAGUCGCGUGAGGGAAGACUGCCCUAUGGGUUGUAAACCUCUUUUGUCAGGGAGCAACGCCGGCUACGUGUAGCCGGACUGAGAGUACCUGAAGAAAAAGCAUCGGCUAACUCCGUGCCAGCAGCCGCGGUAAUACGGAGGAUGCGAGCGUUAUCCGGAUUUAUUGGGUUUAAAGGGUGCGUAGGCGGAAUGCCAAGUCAGCGGUAAAAUCGCGGGGCUCAACCUCGCUCAGCCGUUGAAACUGGCGUUCUUGAGUGGGCGAGAGGUAUGCGGAAUGCGUGGUGUAGCGGUGAAAGGCAUAGAUAUCACGCAGAACUCCGAUUGCGAAGGCAGCGUACCGGCGCCCAACUGACGCUGAAGCACGAAGGCGUGGGUAUCGAACAGGAUUAGAUACCCUAGUAGUC